GAUGAACGCUGGCGGCGUGCCUAAUACAUGCAAGUCGAGCGAACAGACGAGGAGCUUGCUCCUCUGACGUUAGCGGCGGACGGGUGAGUAACACGUGGAUAACCUACCUAUAAGACUGGGAUAACUUCGGGAAACCGGAGCUAAUACCGGAUAAUAUAUUGAACCGCAUGGUUCAAUAGUGAAAGACGGUUUUGCUGUCACUUAUAGAUGGAUCCGCGCCGCAUUAGCUAGUUGGUAAGGUAACGGCUUACCAAGGCAACGAUGCGUAGCCGACCUGAGAGGGUGGUCGACCACACUGGAACUGAGACACGGUCCAGACUCCUACGGGGGGCAGCAGUAGGGAAUCUUCCGCGAUGGGCGAAAGCCUGACGGAGCAACGCCGCGUGAGUGAUGAAGGUCUUCGGAUCGUAAAACUCUGUUAUUAGGGAAGAACAAAUGUGUAAGUAACUAUGCACGUCUUGACGGUACCUAAUCAGAAAGCCACGGCUAACUACGUG
rnacentral:rRNA from 1 species